GUGGAAGUCACAUGGGUCAUGGAGCUGCUAAUAGUUCCAAAUACCAGCAGCUCCAGCAUUGGACGUAGUUCAUUCUUGGUGUUUUAGAAGGAUGUUUUUACAGUAAACCACACGAGAAUGGCUUAAAUCAACUGCUGAACCUUGUUGCAUACAAAGCACCACAAAGGAGGUCAGCAGAUGUGGUGACUGACUUCAAAGGGAGCUGCUGACAAUGAUGCCAAGGAGGAUGAACCCUCAUUUGGACUGUGGCACAUUUCUACCUUGUCCAGAUUUGAUCAGAUACAGUUUAUUGGUGCAGACCUACAGGGGUUGGACAAUGAAACUGAAACACCUGUCAUUUUAGUGUGGGAGGUUUCAUGGCUAAAUUGGACCAGCCUGGUAGCCAGUCUUCAUUGAUUGCACAUUACACCAGUAAGAGCAGAG